AAGCUCUUCCGUUUGUGACUUUUAUCGAGUUGUCAAGUUUGGAGUUCAAUUUAGCGUCCUUGACAUUGUUUAG